rnacentral:rRNA from 1 species
GCAGGCCUAACACAUGCAAGUCGAGCGGAUGAAGGGAGCUUGCUCCUGGAUUCAGCGGCGGACGGGUGAGUAAUGCCUAGGAAUCUGCCUGGUAGUGGGGGAUAACGUCCGGAAACGGGCGCUAAUACCGCAUACGUCCUGAGGGAGAAAGUGGGGGAUCUUCGGACCUCACGCUAUCAGAUGAGCCUAGGUCGGAUUAGCUAGUUGGUGGGGUAAAGGCCUACCAAGGCGACGAUCCGUAACUGGUCUGAGAGGAUGAUCAGUCACACUGGAACUGAGACACGGUCCAGACUCCUACGGGAGGCAGCAGUGGGGAAUAUUGGACAAUGGGCGAAAGCCUGAUCCAGCCAUGCCGCGUGUGUGAAGAAGGUCUUCGGAUUGUAAAGCACUUUAAGUUGGGAGGAAGGGCAGUAAGUUAAUACCUUGCUGUUUUGACGUUACCAACAGAAUAAGCACCGGCUAACUUCGUGCCAGCAGCCGCGGUAAUACGAAGGGUGCAAGCGUUAAUCGGAAUUACUGGGCGUAAAGCGCGCGUAGGUGGUUCAGCAAGUUGGAUGUGAAAUCCCCGGGCUCAACCUGGGAACUGCAUCCAAAACUACUGAGCUAGAGUACGGUAGAAGGUGGUGGAAUUUCCUGUGUAGCGGUGAAAUGCGUAAAUAUAGGAAGGAACACCCAUGGCAAAGGCGACCACCUGGACUGAUACUGACACUGAGGUGCGAAAGCGUGGGGACAAAACAGGAUUAGAUACCCUGGUAGUUCACGCCGUAAA